CUACGGGUCGCAGCAGUGAGGAAUAUUGCACAAUGGGGGAAACCCUGAUGCAGCAACGCCGCGUGGAGGAUGACGCAUUUCGGUGUGUAAACUCCUUUUAUGAGUCAAGAAAAUGACGGUAGCUCAUGAAUAAGCACCGGCUAACUCCGUGCCAGCAGCCGCGGUAAUACGGAGGGUGCAAGCGUUACUCGGAAUCACUGGGCGUAAAGGACGCGUAGGCGGGAUGUCAAGUCAGGUGUGAAAUCCUAUGGCUCAACCAUAGAACUGCACUUGAAACUGGCAACCUAGAGUAUGGGAGGGGGAGAUGGAAUUAGUGGUGUAGGGGUAAAAUCCGUAGAUAUCACUAGGAAUACCGAAAGCGAAGGCGAUCUUCUGGAACAUUACUGACGCUAAGGCGUGAAAGCGUGGGGAGCAAACAGGAUUAGAUACCCCUGUAGUC
rnacentral:rRNA from 1 species